rnacentral:rRNA from 1 species
AUUGAACGCUGGCGGCAGGCCUAACACAUGCAAGUCGAGCGAGCGGCGGACGGGUGAGUAAUGUCUGGGAAACUGUCUGAUGGAGGGGGAUAACUACUGGAAACGGUAGCUAAUACCGCAUACCAUCAGAUGUGCCCAGAGGGGAUUAGCUAGUCGGUGGGGUAACGGCUCACCUAGGCGACGAUCCCUAGCGGUUCUGAGAGGAUGACCAGCCACACUGGAACGGAGACACGGUCCAGACUCCUACGGGAGGCAGCAGUGGGGAAUAUUGGACAAUGGGCGAAAGCCUGAUGCAGCCAUGCCGCGUGUGUGAAGAAGGCCUUCGGGUUGUAAAGCACUGUCAGCGGGGAGGCGUUACCCGCAGAAGAAGCACCGGCUAACUCCGUGCCAGCAGCCGCGGUAAUAC